rnacentral:rRNA from 1 species
AACGAACGCUGGCGGCAGGCCUAACACAUGCAAGUCGAACGCCCCGCAAGGGGAGUGGCAGACGGGUGAGUAACGCGUGGGAACCUACCUUUCGGUUCGGAAUAACUCCGGGAAACCGGAGCUAAUACCGCAUACGCCCUACGGGGGAAAGAAUUAUCGCCGAUAGAUGGGCCCGCGUCGGAUUAGCUAGUUGGUGAGGUAACGGCUCACCAAGGCGACGAUCCGUAGCUGGUCUGAGAGGAUGAUCAGCCACACUGGGAAUGAGACACGGCCCAGACUCCUACGGGAGGCAGCAGUGGGGAAUAUUGGACAAUGGGCGCAAGCCUGAUCCAGCCAUGCCGCGUGAGUGAAGAAGGCCUUAGGGUUGUAAAGCUCUUUUAGUGGGGAAGAUAAUGACGGUACCCACAGAAUAAGCCCCGGCUAACUUCGUGCCAGCAGCCGCGGUAA